rnacentral:rRNA from 1 species
UUGGAGGGCAAGUCUGGUGCCAGCAGCCGCGGUAAUUCCAGCUCCAAUAGCGUAUAUUAAAGUUGCUGCAGUUAAAAAGCUCGUAGUUGAAUUUCGGGACCAUCAUGUCGGUCGUGCCUCGGUACGUACUGGCAUUGUUGGUUUCUACCUUCUGACGAACCAUGAUGUCAUUUAUUUGGUGUCGUGGGAAAUCAGGACUGUUACUUUGAAAAAAUUAGAGUGUUUAAAGCAGGCUCACGCUUGAAUACAUAGCAUGGAAUAAUGAAAUAGGACGUUUGAUUCUAUUUUGUUGGUUUCUAGGAUCGACGUAAUGAUUAAUAGGGACAGUUGGGGGCAUUAGUAUUCAAUUGUCAGAGGUGAAAUUCUUGGAUUUAUUGAAGACUAACUACUGCGAAAGCAUUUGCCAAGGAUGUUUUCAUUAAUCAAGAACGAAAGUUAGGGGAUCGAAGACGAUCAGAUACCGUCGUAGUCUUAACCAUAAACUAUGCCGACUAGGGAUCGGAUGAUGUUAAUUUUUUAAUGACUCAUUCAGCGCCUUACGGGAAACCAAAGUGUUUGGGUUC